UCCAUGGAAUGCUUUCAUACUGCUUGCUACUCGCAGUGUCGUGCUGUGCAUGCCUGCCUUCGAGGCAACAACCACCGUGCAUACAUUGUCCGGGUCGGGCUGGUAUCCUUUGCUGCUACUUGCUGAUGCUGAUAAGAAGAACUGCAGCUUUUAUCACCCCGGCCGAAAAGUCGUCUCUUGACUCGUUCGCGCUAGCUUCAAAGAUAGAGCUAAGCAGGCGAGGCCUAGACCGUCCAUGAUGGCGACAGGAGCUCGACUUCGAGCGGGCCUCCCCAGAGAUGGUAGCCAGAUCCGGCCAUUGAGCCCCCCCUAACCGAGCGGAUCCAAGGUCGGCUGCGGUGGUUGCAGAUGCUCCUCCGCAGCAGGAAAUGGUAGCAGCAAACGGAACGGGCCAACCGCAGCUGGUGGUGGACGAACACAAGACGAUUCUUGAAGAGGUCCCCAGAGAAGAAAAUGGCACCCUUUCUGCCGCCAAUUAUGCUGGCUGUCGGCCCCAAAUUAUGGUACAGCGCAUACGGAGGCUAACCUUCCAUUGGCAGCGCACAGAUCAUCCGGGGCGGACCUAUAAGAUGUCAAGUGUGUACGCCCCAACAACCCACAGAUGCGGCUCGACGCUCUCCAUCUGCAUGUCUCUUUAAUUAUCUCUAUAUAUAUGGAUAGACGACAACCUUCUAUCUAUGAAUUAUAUGUCAUGUCUCUUUAAUUAUCUCUAUAUCAAUGUCUACCUAUGUGAUAUAAGAUACCGUAGCAACGCACGUGCACCUAAUUAGUGAAUUUGGAAGUGUGACUUUAUAAAAAAAAUGAGUUAUAUGUUCAAGAUAAUGUUAGUAGUCAUACUAUUUAAAGUCCUUUUACUUUCUUAUUUGGAUGAGUCUUUUUUCACAUAUCUUCCUUCUUAAUGUACCAUUCAUGGUUCUAUUGAUAGCUCAAGGUCAUGAGAAUGUUGCCGCUGAGUACUACAAACAACAGGUGGAGAUGUUAGAGGGUUUUAGUGAGAUGGACGCAUUUACAUAUCGUGCUUUCCUACCUGUAAUGUCCAAGGAAGAACAGGAAAAAGUUGUCAGGAGUGAAUCAUUAGCCAUAUGGCUGUCUAAUAUUGCAAAUAUGGUUCUCUUUGCUGCAAAAGUAAACCCAAUUGGAAAAGCGUAUGCAGCCACUGAACCAGGGAAUGCAAGUUGGGAUUGCUUGGCUGGUCAUACGAGGUUUGAUCUGUUCUGGGUUUCAUGUAGGAAUCAAGGAACUAGCUGAGGUCUCCUUCCCUCAAGAUGACAAACAAACAGAAAAAACUACCCUCAAGGUGACCUAAACACAAAGGGAGCUACAUAAUACCCUACAAGACUAGACCAGUGCCCUCCUACCAUUGGCGGCAUGGGAUCUCGGUGAUGGAAGGGCAGGGGCAGCACAGGAUCUACUGCAUUUUUUACAACGCAGUGGCAGACAUUGGAGACGGGUUCGUGUGGGAUGCCGACUCCUAGCUCUACUGCCACGCCAGACACUCUUCCCAUAUGAACUUUUUGUGAAGCUCUAUAGCAAGGUUGAGUUGCACCCUUUUGGUCUUCAUAACCUUGGUAACAGGCCAAUUUAUGCUGGGAAUGCACUUUGUACUGUGAAAUAUACCGACGAGGAUCCUUGCAUGAUGAGUAUUAGAUCAACUUCAUUUUCCCCUACUGCUGAUGCUAUGUCUGAAACAAAGGUUGCACCUAUCACCCAGGGAAAUCUACAUGGGUGAAUCUGACAUCCCAAGACACAAAGCGGCAUGAUCUUGCAAAUGCAUGUGUAGUAGUCACAGGAGGCAGAGGUUUAAGAAGUGCUGAAAAUUUUAAGUUGUUGGAGCAGCUUGCGGAGAAAUUUGGUGCAGCAGCGGGCGCGACUAGGGCUGCUGUUGAAGCAGGUUAUGUUCCAAAUGACCUUCAGAGUUGCAGGAGAAGGCUGCAGCAGCUUGAAUCUCAGCUAAUGGAAGCGAACAGAAUCAAAGAGGAAGGCAACACUGGAAGUAUCCGAUGGAAGGAGAACAUAUUAGACCAAGAGAAUGAAUUACAGAACAUAAAACAAGAGAACGACGACCUGCAGACAAAGGAAUCAGCGGCUUCUGAGAAGAUUAAGGAACUCUCUUCCCAGCUUACUAAUGCAAAAUAUGGCAUGAUAAAUAGUAACACCAAGGAGAUAAUGAGAAGGGGGGCACUGAAGAGGACGAUGAACCUGUUGUAGUAGUUGCCAAAAUAUGGGAGAACAACAAGUUUGUUGACUAUGAUUCAUCUAAGGAGAAGGAGAAUGAUGGUGACUCACAGGUUGAUUUGGAAUCAAACAAGGGGGAUGCAGGUCUUGAUAGCAACGGGUUGCACUCAACUAAGGAGAACAGUGGCAGGGCAUCACCAACUAAACAACACCAGCAGUAUAAGAAGAAGUCUCUGCUGAAGAGAUUCGGUGGUCUGCUAAAAAAGAAAAGCGAAAAUUAGCAUAAAACUGUCUGAUGAUAUUCUUUGUUCUAUCAUUUGACAUAUUUUUUGUAAACCCUCUCAGAGAUGCUGAAAGCCAACUUACUAUUGAGAGUACUAUGAAACCUCUCGCGCAGUGUGAAAUAAAUGACAGAAAUGAAGUGUGUGUUGGUGUUGGUGCUGGUGCUGGAGACACUAACAUAACCGGUGGUAUUAUCCAAUUGUAUUGGAGUUCUAUUCUUGAAAGGUGCUUGGAUACAAACGAUCAAAGCUUGAAGGAGGCUUGAGUCAAUUGAAUCAUCUGUAAGUAAUUUAGAAGAAAUAUUGUUUUUGUUGGUGAAGCGAGUUUGUUCUUU